GCAUCUUUUAGACCCUAGUGUAAGAUAAUUGAGUUUUAGUGAGAAGUGUUUAAAACUUGUAACUAGCUUAAAUGGGUUUAGUGCAUUUGGGGACUGUCGACAGCGAACCUUGACGCGAGAAAAAUGCGGGAAAGUAACAAGAAUGGUUUAAAUGUCAAAACUGUUAAAGGACCACAAAGUUUGUUUAAGGCUAAUGAGAAAAACAUUCUUCU